rnacentral:rRNA from 1 species
AGCAGUCGCCGCGGUAAUACGAAGGGGGCUAGCGUUGCUCGGAAUCACUGGGCGUAAAGCGCACGUAGGCGGACUUUUAAGUCAGGGGUGAAAUCCCAUGGCUCAACCUUGGUACUGCCUUUGAUACUGGAAGUCUUGAGUUCGGGAGAGGUGAGUGGAACUGCGAGUGUAGAGGUGAAAUUCGUAGAUAUUCGCAAGAACACCAGUGGCGAAGGCGGCUCACUGGCCCGAUACUGACGCUGAGGUGCGAAAGCGUGGGGAGCAAACAGGAUUAGAUACCCGUGUAGUCCCUGUCUCUUAUAC